rnacentral:ncRNA from 1 species
ACGCCCAAAUGGUGCAAUCGCUAUUAAAGGUUCGUUUGUUCAACAAUUAAAGUCCUACGUGAUCUGAGUUCAGACCGGAGAAAUCCAGGUCGGUUUCUAUCUGUAAAUUCAUUUCUCCCAGUACGAAAGGACAAGAGAAAUAGGGCCAACGUCCCCAAUAAGCCCUAGAACCAACAUAUGAAUCAAUCUAUACGAAAUCAAUUUGUGUACUCCCCAAGAACAGGGUUGUUAAGAUGGCAGAGUUGGUAAUUGCAUAAAGUUUAAGCCUU